rnacentral:rRNA from 1 species
UUGCUUAAAGGGGCCGUAGCUUGAUAUGCAAGUCCCUUGAGAAAUCCGCCAGCUUAACUGGGGGGCGUUCAGGGGAAACUGCGUUUCUAGGGACCGGGAGAGGUGAGAGGUACUGCCGGGGUAGGAGUGAAAUCCUGUAAUCCCGGUGGGACCACCUAUGGCGAAGGCAUCUCACCAGAACGGGUCCGACAGUGAGGGACGAAAGCUGGGGGAGCAAACCGGAUUAGAUACCCGGGUAGUCCCAGCUGUAAACGAUGCGCGUUAGGUGUGUCAGUGACCACGUGUCACUGAGGUGCCGAAGGGAAACCGUGAAACGCGCCGCCUGGGGAGUACGGUCGCAAGGCUGAAACUUAAAGGAGUUGGCGGGGGAGCACCACAACGGGUGGAGCCUGCGGUUUAAUCGGAAUCAACGCCGGAAAUCUCACCGGAUAAGACAGCUGAAUGAUAGUCGGGAUGAAGACUCUACUUGACUAGCUGAGAGGAGGUGCAUGGCCGUCGUCAGUUCGUACUGUGAAGCAUCCUGUUUAGUCAGGCAACGAGCGAGACCCACGCCAACAGUUGCCAGCUUGACCUUCGGGUUGAUGGGGACACUGUUGGGACCGCCUCUGCUAAAGGAGAGGAAGGAAUGGGCAACGGUAGGUCCGCAUGCCCCGAAA